rnacentral:rRNA from 1 species
UACGUAGGGACCAAGCGUUGUUCGGAUUUACUGGGCGUAAAGGGCGCGUAGGCGGCUUGACAAGUCACUUGUGAAAUCUCUGGGCUUAACCCAGAACGGCCAAGUGAAACUGUCGAGCUAGAGUGUAGAAGGGGCAAUCGGAAUUCUUGGUGUAGCGGUGAAAUGCGUAGAUAUCAAGAGGAACACCUGAGGUGAAGACGGGUUGCUGGUCUAACACUGACGCUGAGGCGCGAAAGCCAGGGGAGCAAACGGG